AUGAUGAUUGUGGGAGAGACCGAAGGAAUCAAUUCGGCACCGAAGGAGCAAGUCCCAAAAACCUUGGGAUAGAAACUCUCAGGUAAAAAGACUGCAAUUGGACG
rnacentral:ncRNA from 2 species